UGCCAGACUCCUACGGGAGGCAGCAGUGAGGAAUAUUGGUCAAUGGGCGAGAGCCUGAACCAGCCAAGUCGCGUGAGGGAGUACUGCCCUAUGGGUUGUAAACCUCUUUUGUCGGGGAGCAAAAGCCGGACGUGUCCGGCUGUGAGAGUACCCGAAGAAAAAGCAUCGGCUAACUCCGUGCCAGCAGCCGCGGUAAUACGGAGGAUCCGAGCGUUAUCCGGAUUUAUUGGGCUUAAAGGGUGCGUAGGCGGUUUGAUAAGUUAGAGGUGAAAUGUCGGGGCUCAACCCCGAAACUGCCUCUAAUACUGUUGGACUAGAGAAUAGUUGCGGUAGGCGGAAUGUAUGGUGUAGCGGUGAAAUGCCUAGAGAUCAUACAGAACACCGAUUGCGAAGGCAGCUUACCAAACUAUAUCUGACGUUGAGGCACGAAAGCGUGGGUAGCAAACAGGAUUAGAUACCCUCGUAUG
rnacentral:rRNA from 1 species